GUGGGGAAUAUUGGACAAUGGGCGAAAGCCUGAUCCAGCCAUGCCGCGUGUGUGAAGAAGGUCUUCGGAUUGUAAAGCACUUUAAGUUGGGAGGAAGGGCAGUAAGUUAAUACCUUGCUGUUUUGACGUUACCGACAGAAUAAGCACCGGCUAACUACGUGCCAGCAGCCGCGGUAAUACGAAGGGUGCAAGCGUUAAUCGGAAUUACUGGGCGUAAAGCGGGCGAAGGUGGUUCAUUAAGUUGGAAGUGAAAUCCACGGGCUCAACCUGGGAACUGCUUUCAAAACUGCUGAGCUAGAGUACGGUAGAGGGUGGUGGAAUUUCCUGUGUAGCGGUGAAAUGCGUAGAUAUAGGAAGGAACACCAGUGGCGAAGGCGACCACCUGGACUGAUACUGACACUGAGGUGCGAAAGCGUGGGGAGCAAACAGGAUUAGAUACCCUUGUAGUCC
rnacentral:rRNA from 1 species